rnacentral:rRNA from 1 species
AUGGACAAGAGUUGGAUGCGAGCAGCAAGGUCUUCCGCUGAGUAUUCUAAAGGAACUAUCAACUUCAUACAAUUUGCUUUUCGCGAGUCGGCAAAAAAUAGUAGGAUUCUCUGCCCUUGCAAGAUAUGUGUAAACUCUCAUUGGUUAGGUGAACAUGAAGUCUAUGAUCAUUUGAUUUGUGAUGGAUUCAUGUCCGGAUAUACCACAUUGAUUCACCAUGGAGAAAGUACGCGGCCCUCCGAAGCAACUACUGGUCCUAGUUCACAGUUUGAAGAAUAUGCUGAUAGUGAUGAGAUGGAUGAGAUGCUACUAGAAGGAUUUGGGAUGUACGGUACUCGUACUUUAGGAGAGGAGCAAGAAUCUGAAGAUGAUUUGGACGAUGAUGUUGAGGCAUACUAUAGAUUAGUUGAUGAUGGACGCCAAGAGUUGUACCCAGGUUGCAAAAGAUUCUCGAAGCUGCAAUUUUUGGUGAGGUUGCUUCAUAUCAAGAAUAUGAGGGGAAUGAGCAAUGUCUGCUUUGAUGAGGUAUUGACGCUAAUUAAGGAGGCACUUCCAGAAGGUCAGGCGUUGCCCAAAAAAAUUCAUGGGGCCAAAAAGUUUGCGAGAGCCAUUGGUAUUGGAUAUGAUAGUAUAGAUGCAUGCAAAAACGAUUGCAUUCUAUUUAGGAAGGAACAUGCUGAUGACAUAUCAUGUCCAGUGUGUGGCACAAGUAGAUGGAAGAGCAUAAAUACUGGAGUUGAUGGAAGGCGUGUCCACAAGGUGCCUCAAAAGGUGGUUCUUCAUUUCCCGCUAAAGAAGAUACUCCAAAGGUUGUUCGCUUCUACAAAUACGGCAUCAGAUGUGAGGUGGCACAGCGAAGGCCGCACAAAGGACGACUUGAUACGACACCCAGAUGAUUCACCUGCAUGGAAACACUUUGAUGCUAUUCACAAAGACUUCAGUUCAGAAGUUUGCAAUGUUAGAUUUGGAUUGGGAGUAUAUGGUUUCAACCCUUUUGGAAAUAUGAAUCUCUCAUAUAGCAUAUGGCCUAUCGUCUUGAUCCCCUACAACCUUCCUCCAUGGAUUUGUAUGAAGCAAUCAAACUUUAUCCUCUCUGUCAUCAUUCCUGGUAAAAAAUCUCGAGGGAAAGACAUGGAUGUUUACAUGCAGCUGACCAUAGAUGAUCUUCUAGAGCUUUGGAAUGAUGGAGUCUGGACUUAUGAUGCCUCUCGAUCUAAGAAGUUUCUCUUACGUGCCGCACUACUAUGGACAAUAAGUGAUUGGCCUAGGCAUGGAUCUUUGUCUGGAGAAAAUAUAGUAGUUUGCUCCCAUUGUCUAUCAAAGACAUGA